rnacentral:rRNA from 1 species
UACGUAGGGUGCGAGCGUUGUCCGGAAUUAUUGGGCGUAAAGGGCUCGUAGGCGGUUUGUCGCGUCGGGAGUGAAAACACCGGGCUUAACUCGGUGCUUGCUUUCGAUACGGGCAGACUAGAGGCAUGCAGGGGAGAACGGAAUUCCCGGUGUAGCGGUGAAAUGCGCAGAUAUCGGGAGGAACACCGGUGGCGAAGGCGGUUCUCUGGGCCGGUACUGACGCUGAGACGCGAAAGCGUGGGGAGCGAACAGG